rnacentral:rRNA from 1 species
UACAGAGGGGGCAAGCGUUGUUCGGAAUUACUGGGCGUAAAGGGCGCGUAGGCGGCCUUCUAAGUCGAACGUGAAAUCCCCGGGCUCAACCCGGGAACUGCGUCCGAUACUGGAAGGCUUGAAUCCGGGAGAGGGAUGCGGAAUUCCAGGUGUAGCGGUGAAAUGGCGUAGAUAUCGGAGGAACACCGGUGGCGAAGGCGGCAUCCUGGA